UUGUGUGGCAUUCCUACUGUGAACAGUGUCCACUCCCUUGAUGUCUGUAGUAUCACCCUUCUUGUACAUUCACAUGUAUGUGGUCAAAGAAACAACCAGUGUUUUCUAAAAGGCUUAGAGAACAUACAGAAGAUCCCCCUUCUCUUACAAAAAGCAACUGACAGCCCUCACAGCACUGUUUCACCAAUGAAGAAGAAUGAGUAGAAGGAGGAAACACCAGGAGCUUCUGACUACAUCUUACUGGUGAGAAAUGUGUUGCAAGUGUCCUUACCGCAAAACAGUCUGAGAGGAAAAACUUGGCUGCACAGUCUCUACAGUAGAACAAGGAAGACAAGAGGAGAGUUGGAAAUGUUUGUUGAGUAAGCCAACCUACAACAUCUGCCAGUUUUUCUUUUAGAGAUUUAAUUUCAGACCUCAUUUCAAGAUGGUUUCUCCCUCCGCUCAUUUUCAGUAGCUGCAAAUGUACAAGAAGGAAAUUUGCUGAAAAAUAAACUCAGAUAAAGAAAUGGAUGUUUUUGGUUUUUAUAUAAAAGGAUAAGUGAUUUAGAUG
rnacentral:lncRNA from 1 species